rnacentral:rRNA from 1 species
AGUGAACGCUGGCGGUAGGCCUAACACAUGCAAGUCGAACGGCAGCACAGUAAGAGCUUGCUCUUACGGGUGGCGAGUGGCGGACGGGUGAGGAAUACAUCGGAAUCUACUUUUUCGUGGGGGAUAACGUAGGGAAACUUACGCUAAUACCGCAUACGACCUACGGGUGAAAGCAGGGGAUCUUCGGACCUUGCGCGAUUGAAUGAGCCGAUGUCGGAUUAGCUAGUUGGCGGGGUAAAGGCCCACCAAGGCGACGAUCCGUAGCUGGUCUGAGAGGAUGAUAAGCCACACUGGAACUGAGACACGGUCCAGACUCCUACGGGAGGGAGCAGUGGGGAAUAUUGGACAAUGGGCGCAAGCCUGAUCCAGCCAUACCGCGUGGGUGAAGAAGGCCUUCGGGUUGUAAAGCCCUUUUGUUGGGAAAGAAAAGCAGCAGGUUAAUACCCCGCUGUUCUGACGGUACCCAAAGAAUAAGCACCGGCUAACUUCGUG